rnacentral:rRNA from 1 species
UACGAAGGGGGGCUAGCGUUGUUCGGAAUUACUGGGCGUAAAGGGCGCGUAGGCGGUGUGUCAAGUCAGGCGUGCAAAGCCCCGGGCUCAACCUGGGAACAGCGCUUGAGACUGGCACGCUCGAGUUCGGGAGAGGAUGGUGGAAUUCCCAGUGUAGAGGUGAAAUUCGUAGAUAUUGGGAAGAACACCGAUGGCGAAGGGC